GAUGAACGCUAGCUACAGGCUUAACACAUGCAAGUCGAGGGGAAACGAUAUUGGAAGCUUGCUUCCGAUAGGCGUCGACCGGCGCACGGGUGAGUAACGCGUAUCCAACCUGCCCACCACUUGGGGAUAACCUUGCGAAAGUAAGACUAAUACCCAAUGAUAUCUCUAGAAGACAUCUGAAAGAGAUUAAAGAUUUAUCGGUGAUGGAUGGGGAUGCGUCUGAUUAGCUUGUUGGCGGGGUAACGGCCCACCAAGGCGACGAUCAGUAGGGGUUCUGAGAGGAAGGUCCCCCCACAUUGGAACUGAGACACGGUCCAAACUCCUACGGGAGGCAGCAGUGAGGAAUAUUGGGUCAAUGGACGAGAGUCUGAACCAGCCAAGUAGCGUGCAGGAUGACGGCCCUAUGGGUUGUAAACUGCUUUUAUAAGGGAAUAAAGUGAGAGUCGUGACUCUUUUUGCAUGUACCUUAUGAAUAAGGACCGGCUAAUUCCGUGCCAGCAGCCGACGG
rnacentral:rRNA from 1 species